GAAGUGCGAAUGCUGACAUAAGUAACGAUAAAGCGGGUGAAAAGCCCGCUCGCCGGAAGACCAAGGGUUCCUGUCCAACGUUAAUCGGGGCAGGGUGAGUCGACCCCUAAGGCGAGGCCGAAAGGCGUAGUCGAUGGGAAACAGGUUAAUAUUCCUGUACUUGGUGUUACUGCGAAGGGGGGACGGAGAAGGCUAUGUUGGCCGGGCGACGGUUGUCCCGGUUUAAGCGUGUAGGCUGGUUUUCCAGGCAAAUCCGGAAAAUCAAGGCUGAGGCGUGAUGACGAGGCACUACGGUGCUGAAGCAACAAAUGCCCUGCUUCCAGGAAAAGCCUCUAAGCAUCAGGUAACAUCAAAUCGUACCCCAAACCGACACAGGUGGUCAGGUAGAGAAUACCAAGGCGCUUGAGAGAACUCGGGUGAAGGAACUAGGCAAAAUGGUGCCGUAACUUCGGGAGAAGGCACGCUGAUAUGUAGGUGAAGUCCCUUGCGGAUGGAGCUGAAAUCAGUCGAAGAUACCAGCUGGCUGC
rnacentral:rRNA from 1 species